UACGUAGGGGGCAAGCGUUGUCCGGAAUCAUUGGGCGUAAAGCGCGUGUAGGCGGCCCGGUAAGUCCGCUGUGAAAGUCGGGGGCUCAACCCUCGAAAGCCGGUGGAUACUGUCGGGCUCGAGUGCGGAAGGAGGCGAGUGGAAUUCCUGGUGUAGCGGUGAAAUGCGCAGAUAUCAGGAGGAACACCGAUUGCGAAGGCAGCUCGCUGGGACGUUACUGACGCUGAGACGCGAAAGCGUGGGGAGCAAACAGG
rnacentral:rRNA from 1 species